GCAAACUUGGUCAUUUAGAGGAAGUAAAAGUCGUAACAAGGUCUCCGUUGGUGAACCAGCGGAGGGAUCAUUACUGAGUGUUACAACUCCCAAACCCUUUGUGAACCUUACCAUCGUUGCUUCGGCGGCAUCGCCUCGGCGCCGCCGCCGGAGGCCCGAAACUCUUGCUUUAUCAGUGGUUUUCUCUCUGAGUGGCAUAAGCAAAAUUAAAUCAAAACUUUCAACAACGGAUCUCUUGGUUCUGGCAUCGAUGAAGAACGCAGC
rnacentral:misc_RNA from 1 species